UACGUAGGGUGCAAGCGUUAAUCGGAAUUACUGGGCGUAAAGCGUGCGCAGGCGGUUAUGUAAGCAGUUGUGAAAUCCCCGGGCUCAACCUGGGAAUUGCAUCUGUGACUGCAUAGCUAGAGUACGGUAGAGGGGGGAUGGAAUUCCGCGUGUAGCAGUGAAAUGCGUAGAUAUGCGGAGGAACACCGAUGGCGAAGGCAAUCCCCCUGGACCUGUACUGACGCUCAUGCA
rnacentral:rRNA from 1 species